GUUAUAAAAAUUGAACGAGUUUAAUAAAACUUCUUUUUAUAAGUAGAACGUAUUUUCGGCUUUAUACAUUUUAUUUUCGGCUGUGUCUGGCUCUGUUAUCGAAUCGCUAUUAUAUACCACCUGAAUACUGCAGCCAAAGCACUGAAUGCUUAAUCAACUCGAGCAAAGAAAUCAAGGCGUUGGGUCUACUUAGGUCGACGAUCUGCUAGAUGUUGAUGCGCUUGAUAUGGAUGAGGGAAGUGUUCCCCUCUCGAUCCUUAUGGCAUGGUGAUGAACACGACGGUGAUGGCGACAGCUGGGGAGGAGAAGGAGAAAACGGCGAGAUAUUUGUCGGGGAUGAUGACAUCGAAUCUGAAAAUGAGUACUUUGAAUUUAUGUAUAUAGAUUAGUUUUUAAUAAUAAAAAUGAUUUUGAAUAUGCCUACAA